UACGGAGGGUGCAAGCGUUGCUCGGAAUUACUGGGCGUAAAGCGUACGCAGGCUGUCCGUUAAGUCGGGUGUGAAAGCCCGGGGCUCAACCCCGGAAUUGCGCCCGAAACUGACGGGCUUGAGUGCGGGAGAGGGAAGCGGAAUUCCUGGUGUAGAGGUGAAAUUCGUAGAUAUCAGGAGGAACACCGGUGGCGGAAAAGCGGCUUCCUGGCCCGACACUGACGCUCAUGUACGAAAGCGUGGGGAGCAAACAGG
rnacentral:rRNA from 1 species